AGGCUCCGAGGUGGUAACAUAUUGGAUUGCAAAUCCAAAGAAGCAGCUUCAAUUCUGCCGGGGCUU
rnacentral:tRNA from 1 species